CUCCGCUUGGUGUAGUUGGUGUAAGUUUCGGUGUUCAAUCGAAAGGUCUCUAGUUCGAUUCUGGAAGCGGAGA